rnacentral:rRNA from 1 species
GGCGGACGGGUGAGUAACACGUAGGAAUCUGCCUUUUUGUGGGGGAUAACCCGGGGAAACUCGGGCUAAUACCGCAUACGCUCUACGGAGGAAAGCGGGGGCUCGCAAGACCUCGCGCAAAGAGAUGAGCCUGCGUCCGAUUAGCUGGUUGGUGGGGUAAAGGCCCACCAAGGCGACGAUCGGUAGCUGGUCUGAGAGGAUGAUCAGCCACACUGGAACUGAGACACGGUCCAGACUCCUACGGGAGGCAGCAGUGGGGAAUAUUGGACAAUGGGCGGAAGCCUGAUCCAGCAAUGCCGCGUGUGUGAAGAAGGCCUGCGGGUUGUAAAGCACUUUAAGCCGGAAAGAAGGGGCGGGAGUUAACACCUCCUGUCAUUGACGUUACCGGCAGAAUAAGCACCGGCUAACUCCGUGCCAGCAGCCGCGGUAAUACGGAGGGUGCGAGCGUUAAUCGGAAUUACUGGGCGUAAAGCGCGCGUAGGCGGUAGGCUAAGUCCGCUGUGAAAGCCCUGGGCUUAACCUGGGAACGGCAGAGGAUACUGGUCGGCUAGAGUGUGGUAGAGGGUGGCGGAAUUUC